CAGUCGCCGCGGGAAUACGUAGGUGGCAAGCGUUGUCCGGAAUUAUUGGGCGUAAAGCGCGCGCAGGUGGUUUAAUAAGUCUGAUGUGAAAGCCCACGGCUCAACCGUGGAGGGUCAUUGGAAACUGUUAAACUUGAGUGCAGGAGAGAAAAGUGGAAUUCCUAGUGUAGCGGUGAAAUGCGUAGAGAUUAGGAGGAACACCAGUGGCGAAGGCGGCUUUUUGGCCUGUAACUGACACUGAGGCGCGAAAGCGUGGGGAGCAAACAGGAUUAGAGACCCCGGUAGUCCCUGUCUCUUAUAC
rnacentral:rRNA from 1 species